UACGUAGGGUGCAAGCGUUAAUCGGAAUUACUGGGCGUAAAGCGUGCGCAGGCGGUUAUUUAAGACAGAUGUGAAAUCCCCGGGCUCAACCUGGGAACUGCAUUUGUGACUGCAUAGCUUGAGGGCGGCAGAGGGGGAUGGCAUUCCGCGUGUCGCAGUGAAAUGCGUAGAUAUGCGGAGGAACACCGAUGGCGAAGGCAAUCCCCUGGGCCUGCACUGACGCUCAUGCACGAAAGCGUGGGGAGCAAACAGGAUUAGAUACCCUGGUAGUCCACGCCCUAAACGAUGUCAACUGGUUGUUGGGUCUUCACUGACUCAGUAACGAAGCUAACGCGUGAAGUUGACCGCCUGGGGAGUACGGCCGCAAGGUUG
rnacentral:rRNA from 1 species